AAUAAGCCAGGGGGUGGGAAACUCGGCUCACUUGAAAUUGUGCCGAAAUGUGCCGACUGUGCGAGAGUGAGCGAUCAAAUUAAUAUGUCACAUUUGUCUGGUUGCACUGCAAAAACUGGCAACUAUGAUCGUUUCAUGACAGAUCUUUUUUGUUUAUUUUUAAAAACUUCUGAAGCAACAACUGCAGUCUGAACAGCUUUUAACUCGACGGAAGCCGCUAUUAAAUUUUCUGAACAUAUUUUCGGAUUAAUACAACGUUUCAGUCCGAUGGUAGGGGAAUCGUGUGGAUGCCCACUAGGGCAACGGAUGUUCAAGGGAUGAUUGCUGAUGAAGAGAUGAGGAAGUUCGGAACCAUAUUGAGAACCAAUCUGCCCCUGUUUUAUGAACUUCGAUCAAACUCUUCAAUGUCGUCUUAAUCUACAAUGCCACCGGAAUCGAUGACCUGGCAAGGAUACUGGAUAUUACCAGACACGUAGUGAUCGAGAAAUGCGAGAUCCUGGGCGGGAUAGUUUACAAGAUGGUACAGUGGCCUAAAUCCAAAUUCGUACAGGGCAUUGAUUUCACAUCAAGGCUAUUACUGAGAUGUGGAUUACCUUACAGCAGUGAUAUUG